rnacentral:rRNA from 1 species
GAGUUUGAUCCUGGCUCAGAACGUACGCUGGCGGCACGCCUAACACAUGCAAGUCGAACGAAGUAGCAAUACUUAGUGGCAGACGGGUGAGUAACAUGUGGGUAUCUACCCUUUGGCCUGGAAUAACACGAGGAAACUUGUGCUAAUACCGGAUAAGUCUUUACGGAGAAAGCUUUAUGCACCAUUGGAUGAGCCCGCACUUGAUUAGUUUGUUGGUAGGGUAAUGGCCUACCAAGACUAUGAUCAAUAGCUGAUUUGAGAGGAUGAUCAGCCACAUUGGGACUGAGACACGGCCCAAACUCCUACGGGAGGCAGCAGUGGGGAAUCUUGCACAAUGGAGGAAACUCUGAUGCAGCGAUGCCGCGUGAGUGAAGAAGGCCCUUGGGUUGUAAAGCUCUUUCGUCGGGGAAGAAAAUGACUGUACCCGAAUAAGAAGGUCCGGCUAACUUCGUGCCAGCAGCCGCGGUAAUACGAAGGGACCUAGCGUAGUUCGGAAUUACUGGGCUUAAAGAGUUCGUAGGUGGUUGAAAAAGUUAGUGGUGAAAUCCCAGAGCUUAACUCUGGAACUGCCAUUAAAACUUUUCAGCUAGAGUAUGAUAGAGGAAAGCAGAAUUUCUAGUGUAGAGGUGAAAUUCGUAGAUAUUAGAAAGAAUACCAAUUGCGAAGGCAGCUUUCUGGAUCAUUACUGACACUGAGGAACGAAAGCAUGGGUAGCGAAGAGGAUUAGAUACCCUCGUAGUCCAUGCCGUAAACGAUGUGUGUUAGACGUUGGAAAUUUAUUUCAGUGUCGCAGGGAAACCGAUAAACACACCGCCUGGGGAGUACGACCGCAAGGUUAAAACUCAAAUGAAUUGACGGGGACCCGCACAAGUAGUGGAGCAUGUGGUUUAAUUCGAAGAUACGCGCAGAACCUUACCAACACUUGACAUGUUCGUCGCGACUCUAAGAGAUUAGAGUUUUCGGUUCGGCCGGACGAAACACAGGUGCUGCAUGGCUGUCGUCAGCUCGUGUCGUGAGAUGUUGGGUUAAGUCCCGCAACGAGCGCAACCCACAUCUUUAGUUGCCAGCAGGUUAAGCUGGGCACUCUAGAGAAACUGCCCGUGAUAAGCGGGAGGAAGGUGUGGAUGACGUCAAGUCCUCAUGGCCCUUACGGGUUGGGCUACACACGUGCUACAAUGGCAGUGACAAUGGGUUAAUCCCCAAAAGCUGUCUCAGUUCGGAUUGGGGUCUGCAACUCGACCCCAUGAAGUCGGAAUCGCUAGUAAUCGCGUAACAGCAUGACGCGGUGAAUACGUUCCCGGGCCUUGUACACACCGCCCGUCACACCAUGGGAAUUGGGUCUACCCGAAGGUGGUGCGCCAACUAUUUAUAGGGGCAGCCAACCACGGUAGGUUCAGUGACUGGGGUGAAGUCGUAACAAGGUAACC